GAUAUGGUAGGAGAGCGUUCUGUAAGCCUGCGAAGGUGUCUUGUAAAGGAUGCUGGAGGUAUCAGAAGUGCGAAUGCUGACAUGAGUAGCGAUAAUGGGGGUGAAAAGCCUCCACGCCGUAAGCCCAAGGUUUCCUGUUCAACGUUCAUCGGAGCAGGGUGAGUCGGCCCCUAAGGCGAGGCAGAGAUGCGUAGCUGAUGGGAAGCAGGUUAAUAUUCCUGCACCGUCGUAUGAUGCGAUGGGGGGACGGAUCGCGGAAGGUUGUCUGACUGUUGGAAUAGUCAGUUUCUGUCUCAUAGAAGGCGCUUAGGCAAAUCCGGGCGCGGAAUUCAAGGGGAUGGGACGAGUGAACUUGUUCACGAAGCAAUCGGAAGUGGUUCCAAGAAAAGCCUCUAAGCUUCAGUCAUACGAGACCGUACCGCAAACCGACACAGGUGGGCGAGAUGAGUAUUCUAAGGCGCUUGAGAGAACUCGGGAGAAGGAACUCGGCAAAUUGGUACCGUAACUUCGGGAAAAGGUACGCCCCGGUAGCUUGACCACUUUACUGUGGAAGGGUGAAAGGGUUGCAAUAAACUGGUGGCUGCGACUGUUUAAUAAAAACACAGCACUCUGCAAACACGAAAGUGGACGUAUAGGGUGUGACGCCUGCCCGGUGCUGGAAGAUUAAAUGAUGGGGUGCAAGCUCUUGAUUGAAGUCCCAGUAAACGGCGGCCGUAACUAUAACGGUCCUAAGGUAGCGAAAUUCCUUGUCGGGUAAGUUCCGACCUGCACGAAUGGCGUAACGAUGGCCACACUGUCUCCUCCCGAGACUCAGCGAAGUUGAAAUGUUUGUGAUGAUGCAAUCUACCCGCGGCUAGACGGAAAGACCCCAUGAACCUUUACUGUAGCUUUGCAUUGGACUUUGAACCAAUCUGUGUAGGAUAGGUGGGAGGCUUUGAAGCGGGGACGCUAGUUCUCGUGGAGCCAACCUUGAAAUACCACCCUGGUUUGUUUGAGGUUCUAACCUUGGUCCGUUAUCCGGAUCGGGGACAGUGCAUGGUAGGCAGUUUGACUGGGGCGGUCUCCUCCUAAAGUGUAACGGAGGAGUUCGAAGGUACGCUAGAUACGGUCGGACAUCGUGUUGAUAGUGCAAUGGCAUAAGCGUGCUUAACUGCGAGACUGACAAGUCGAGCAGGUACGAAAGUAGGACAUAGUGAUCCGGUGGUUCUGUAUGGAAGGGCCAUCGCUCAACGGAUAAAAGGUACUCUGGGGAUAACAGGCUGAUUCCUCCCAAGAGUUCAUAUCGACGGGGGAGUUUGGCACCUCGAUGUCGGCUCAUCACAUCCUGGGGCUGUAGCCGGUCCCAAGGGUAUGGCUGUUCGCCAUUUAAAGUGGUACGUGAGCUGGGUUUAAAACGUCGUGAGACAGUUUGGUCCCUAUCUGCCGUGGGCGUUGGAAAUUUGAAGGGGGCUGCUCCUAGUACGAGAGGACCGGAGUGGACGAACCUCUGGUGUACCGGUUGUCACGCCAGUGGCAUUGCCGGGUAGCUAAGUUCGGAAGAGAUAACCGCUGAAAGCAUCUAAGCGGGAAACUUGCCUUGAGAUGAGAUUUCCCAGAGCCUUGAGCUCUUUGAAGGGUCGUUCGAGACCAGGACGUUGAUAGGCUGGGUGUGGAAGUGCAGUAAUGCAUUAAGCUAACCAGUACUAAUUGCCCGUACGGCUUGUCCCUAUAACCUUAGCAGGU
rnacentral:rRNA from 1 species